UCAUCUUCGGGGGUAGAGCACUGUUUCGGCUAGGGGGUCAUCCCGACUUACCAACCCGAUGCAAACUACGAAUACCGAAGAAUGUUAUCACGGGAGACACACGGCGGGUGCUAACGUCCGUCGUGAAGAGGGAAACAACCCAGACCGCCAGCUAAGGUCCCAAAGUCAUGGUUAAGUGGGAAACGAUGUGGGAAGGCACAGACAGCCAGGAUGUUGGCUUAGAAGCAGCCAUCAUUUAAAGAAAGCGUAAUAGCUCACUGGUCGAGUCGGCCUGCGCGGAAGAUGUAACGGGGCUAAACCAUGCACCGAAGCUGCGGCAGCGACACUAUGUGUUGUUGGGUAGGGGAGCGUUCUGUAAGCCUGCGAAGGUGACCUGUGAGGGUUGCUGGAGGUAUCAGAAGUGCGAAUGCUGACAUAAGUAACGAUAAAGCGGGUGAAAAGCCCGCUCGCCGGAAGACCAAGGGUUCCUGUCCAACGUUAAUCGGGGCAGGGUGAGUCGACCCCUAAGGCGAGGCCGAAAGGCGUAGUCGAUGGGAAACAGGUUAAUAUUCCUGUACUUGGUGUUACUGCGAAGGGGGGACGGAGAAGGCUAUGUUAGCCGGGCGACGGUUGUCCCGGUUUAAGCAUGUAGGCUGGUUGUCCAGGCAAAUCCGGAUAAUCAAGGCUGAGGUGUGAUGACGAGGCACUACGGUGCUGAAGUAACAAAUGCCCUGCUUCCAGGAAAAGCCUCUAAGCAUCAGGUAACAUCAAAUCGUACCCCAAACCGACACAGGUGGUCAGGUAGAGAAUACCAAGGCGCUUGAGAGAACUCGGGUGAAGGAACUAGGCAAAAUGGUGCCGUAACUUCGGGAGAAGGCACGCUGGUGUGUAGGUGAAGUCCCUGCGGAUGGAGCUGAGACCAGUCGAAGAUACCAGCUGGCUGCAACUGUUUAUUAAAAACACAGCACUGUGCAAACACGAAAGUGGACGUAUACGGUGUGACGCCUGCCCGGUGCCGGAAGGUUAAUUGAUGGGGUUAUCCGUAAGGAGAAGCUCUUGAUCGAAGCCCCGGUAAACGGCGGCCGUAACUAUAACGGUCCUAAGGUAGCGAAAUUCCUUGUCGGGUAAGUUCCGACCUGCACGAAUGGCGUAAUGAUGGCCAGGCUGUCUCCACCCGAGACUCAGUGAAAUUGAACUCGCUGUGAAGAUGCAGUGUACCCGCGGCAAGACGGAAAGACCCCGUGAACCUUUACUAUAGCUUGACACUGAACAUUGAGCCUUGAUGUGUAGGAUAGGUGGGAGGCUUUGAAGCGUGGACGCCAGUCUGCGUGGAGCCAACCUUGAAAUACCACCCUUUAAUGUUUGAUGUUCUAACGUUGGCCCCUUACCGGGGUUGCGGACAGUGUCUGGUGGGUAGUUUGACUGGGGCGGUCUCCUCCCAAAGCGUAACGGAGGAGCACGAAGGUUAGCUAAUCCUGGUCGGACAUCAGGAGGUUAGUGCAAUGGCAUAAGCUAGCUUGACUGCGAGCGUGACGGCGCGAGCAGGUGCGAAAGCAGGUCAUAGUGAUCCGGUGGUUCUGAAUGGAAGGGCCAUCGCUCAACGGAUAAAAGGUACUCCGGGGAUAACAGGCUGAUACCGCCCAAGAGUUCAUAUCGACGGCGGUGUUUGGCACCUCGAUGUCGGCUCAUCACAUCCUGGGGCUGAAGUAGGUCCCAAGGGUAUGGCUGUUCGCCAUUUAAAGUGGUACGCGAGCUGGGUUUAGAACGUCGUGAGACAGUUCGGUCCCUAUCUGCCGUGGGCGCUGGAGAAUUGAGGGGGGCUGCUCCUAGUACGAGAGGACCGGAGUGGACGCAUCACUGGUGUUCGGGUUGUCAUGCCAAUGGCACUGCCCGGUAGCUAAAUGCGGAAGAGAUAAGUGCUGAAAGCAUCUAAGCACGAAACUUGCCCCGAGAUGAGUUCUCCCUGAGACUUUAAGUCUCCUGAAGGAACGUUGAAGACGACGACGUUGAUAGGCCGGGUGUGUAAGCGCAGCGAUGCGUUGAGCUAACCGGUACUAAUGAACCGUGAGGCUUAACCUU
rnacentral:rRNA from 1 species